UCAAAGACAAACCUCUGUUAAUAGAUGCCAAAUAAAAGAGGGAGCGAGCUGCAGAGGGCGUCGUCCUCCAGGAUUUCAGCCAUUCCAGCGACUCCCUUGCUGAGGUGGGUGAUGCAGGUGCUGAACUUGGCUCAAACACCAGCAGUGCCAUUCCUGUGGAUUUCAAGAACAGAGGCAUCCCUUUUGGAAAGGAAGAAUUUGAUCUGUCACCAACUUGUCAUCCACAGAUAAAAGCCCCACAAACCCAAACAAACAAACAAAAAACCCGCCAAAAUUUUAAAUUUUAAAAUUUAAAAAAAACUUCUGGUGCCUGUACAAAUACCCUCUUCAGCCUUCUGGGAGAAAAAUGGGAAAGCUCAGUCCCUGCAUGUUUGAGCUGCAUUGGAUAAAACACAGUUUAA